rnacentral:rRNA from 1 species
UACGUAGGGUGCGAGCGUUGUCCGGAAUUACUGGGCGUAAAGAGCUCGUAGGUGGUUUGUCGCGUUGUUCGUGAAAACUCACAGCUUAACUGUGGGCGUGCGGGCGAUACGGGCAGACUGGAGUACUGCAGGGGAGACUGGAAUUCCUGGUGUAGCGGUGGAAUGCGCAGAUAUCAGGAGGAACACCGGUGGCGAAGGCGGGUCUCUGGGCAGUAACUGACGCUGGAGGAGCGAAAGCCGUGGGGAGCGAACAGGA